rnacentral:rRNA from 1 species
UACAGAGGGUGCAAGCGUUGUUCGGAAUUAUUGGGCGUAAAGCGCGUGUAGGCGGUGGAGUAUGUCGGGUGUGAAAGCCCCCAGCUCAACUGGGGAAGUGCCUUGGAAACUGCCGGUCUUGAGGGAGGUAGGGGCCUGUGGAACUUCGGGUGGAGCGGUGAAAUGCGUUGAUAUCCGAAGGAACGCCGGUGGCGAAAGCGACGGGCUGGAUCUCUUCUGACGCUGAGGCGCGAAAGCCAGGGUAGCGAACGGG